GANUGCCCUAUGGGUUGUAAACUUCUUUUNNAAAGGAAUAAAGUCGGGUAUGCAUACCCGUUUGCAUGUACUUUAUGAAUAAGGAUCGGCUAACUCCGUGCCAGCAGCCGCGGUAAUACGGAGGAUCCGAGCGUUAUCCGGAUUUAUUGGGUUUAAAGGGAGCGUAGAUGGAUGUUUAAGUCAGUUGUGAAAGUUUGCGGCUCAACCGUAAAAUUGCAGUUGAUACUGGAUGUCUUGAGUGCAGUUGAGGCAGGCGGAAUUCGUGGUGUAGCGGUGAAAUGCUUAGAUAUCACGAAGAACUCCGAUUGCGAAGGCAGCCUGCUAAGCUGCAACUGACAUUGAGGCUCGAAAGUGUGGGUAUCAAACAGGAUUAGAUACCCUGGUAGUCCACACGGUAAACGAUGAAUACUCGCUGUUUGCGAUAUACGGCAAGCGGCCAAGCGAAAGCGUUAAGUAUUCCACCUGGGGAGUACGCCGGCAACGGUGAAACUCAAAGGAAUUGACGGGGGCCCGCACAAGCGGAGGAACAUGUGGUUUAAUUCGAUGAUACGCGAGGAACCUUACCCGGGCUUAAAUUGCACUCGAAUGAUCCGGAAACGGUUCAGCUAGCAAUAGCGAGUGUGAAGGUGCUGCAUGGUUGUCGUCAGCUCGUGCCGUGAGGUGUCGGCUUAAGUGCCAUAACGAGCGCAACCCUUGUUGUCAGUUACUAACAGGUGAUGCUGAGGACUCUGACAAGACUGCCAUCGUAAGAUGUGAGGAAGGUGGGGAUGACGUCAAAUCAGCACGGCCCUUACGUCCGGGGCUACACACGUGUUACAAUGGGGGGUACAGAGGGCCGCUACCACGCGAGUGGAUGCCAAUCCCUAAAACCCCUCUCAGUUCGGACUGGAGUCUGCAACCCGACUCCACGAAGCUGGAUUCGCUAGUAAUCGCGCAUCAGCCACGGCGCGGUGAAUACGUUCCCGGGCCUUGUACACACCGCCCGUCAAGCCAUGGGAGCCGGGGGUACCUGAAGUGCGUAACCGCGAGGAUCGCCCUAGGGUAAAACUGGUGACUGGGGCUAAGUCUAACCAAGGUAA
rnacentral:rRNA from 1 species